UAAGAGAAUGGAAUUUCAGAAAAAAACUUUUUUAAAAUUAAAAAUUGAACUUUUUUUAAUUUGUGCAGAAACAAUUAUUUUAAUUAAGGACAAGAAGACCCUAAGAAUUUAUGAAUUUAAAUAAUAUAUUUUCAUAUUAAUUAAAUUUUGGCUGGGGCGGCUGAGAAAUAUUAAAAACUUUUUGUUUUAACAUGACCCAUUAUUAAUGAUUAAAUGAAAAAAUACUCUAGGGAUAACAGCGUUAUAUUUUUUGAUAGACCAUAUUGACAAAAAAGUUUGCGACCUCGAUGUUGGAUUAGGAUACUAUUUUAAUGAAGAUAUUAAAAUAAGAAGUUUGUUCAACUUUUAAAUUCC
rnacentral:rRNA from 1 species